CUGAGGCUCAGUCACUGUAUUCCAGGCACUGUUCCAGGCUCUGGGGAUAGGGGUAACAUCCUGUUGUUGCAGAGCUUACAUCACAGUGGACAGAUCAGUGGAUAACCUAGCAAAUCAACAGAAUGACCCAUGCACAAGUGGGAUAAAUAGAAAACAAAUGAUGCAGGUGCUGUUCAAGAAUUUCAUGGCCUUGAAUGAGAAAUGGUUUCAAUGAAAACAUUUAUUUUGGAUAUAAGAUGAAAGACAAUUUGUUGUCAGCUUGAAUUUCACUUCAGCAAUCUUUUGGUAAUAUCCAUAUUAUAUGAAAAUCAAGUCACAACUUUCUAUAUUGAAGAAGGAGAAUCAUAUAGUUUAAUGUGUUUGAAAUUAUUUUAUAAAAGAUAAAUGUUAGAGAAGUUGAAAAUAAAAGACUAUAUGUUUAGUGAUGUUGCA
rnacentral:lncRNA from 1 species